rnacentral:lncRNA from 1 species
CUGGAGGUGAGCUCAGCUGCCCGGUGACGUGGCCCCGAGGGCAGGGCGGGCACGGCCUCACCCACGCGGAGCCGCUGCGGGCACCGGGAGACGAGGAAGAGGAGGAACAGGAUGUGAGGAUGAGGCUUCCCAGCCGCUUGACCUGCCUGUGCCCUGUGCCCGCUUUGUCCUGGGGCGGGGGCUCCCUCCUGGCACCGCUGGCUGGCGCAGGGAGAGCGGCUGGGGAAGCCGGGAGCCGCGUCUGCCGGGCCGCGUUUCCCACCUCCUCCUCCUCUCCUGUCUCAGGUGUUGGCCCAGCAGGAGCCGUGGCAGCUGGAAAACUCCCCAGACCCCACGGCAGCGCUGGCUUUUAGGGAGGGGAGAAGGCAGCGAGGGGCAGCCCCGCCGCCUCGGCAGGCUGGAGACCCCCGGGGACGGGCCGGCGGCUUUUCCCAACUGCUUCAGCGCUGCUGGCGGGAUCUGCUGGCUCGGGGGGGAAACCAGAUACCCUGCCCUGCGGCUGGGGGGCGAGGCGGCCGGCCCCACGCCGAGCGGACCCCCCCAGACACGCUGCCGGGGAGCCGGGCCAGGGCUCCCUCCGGCCGUGGAUCGUUUGGGCAGCUCCGUCUGACACCUUCGCAGCCCCUCCGGAUCCUCAGGGCUGCGGAGUGUCCCCCAUUCACCCGGGGGACGGGAUCCAGAGCCCCCCUCGUCAGCCCUGACAUGUCUGUUGGGCGCGUCCUCAUGGAUUCAACACCAAAUCCGCACUUCCCGAGCAAUAAAUCAGCCAGCAGCACGUCCGUGUGUGGUUUAUCCCUACAGGGGGUCCCCAAACUGCUGCUAAUGACUUCAGCACCCAAUGUCCCGGUGGAUUUGGGGAAAGGGGGUCCUGCUGUACUCCGAGCGGGCACCCCGCGUCCCGGAGAAAGCCGGGAGGAUGCGAUGGCAGCCGGGAGGGCUCGGACCUGGCCAGGGCCGGGGUCUGGAGUGGAAGCGAAUCCGCCUGUUACCUCCCUGCCGUUCCCGGCGCUCUCAGCGCCUUUGUUUUAAACAAAGCUUUUUUUGGGGGGAGCCAGGACGUUCCUCUCCCCGCCGAGAGAGCCCCCGCGGCAGCACCCACUCAUGGAUGAGGGCCGCGAGGGGAAGGGACGAGGGGCUCUGGCUGUCGGGUCGCCCCCUCCCCUCCCGCGAC